rnacentral:rRNA from 1 species
GCGCGUAAAUUACCCAAUCCUGACACAGGGAGGUAGUGACAAUAAAUAACAAUGCUCUG